rnacentral:rRNA from 1 species
GACGAACGCUGGCGGCGUGCCUAAUACAUGCAAGUCGAACGCAUUUUCUUUCACCGUAGCUUGCUACACCGAAAGAAAAUGAGUGGCGAACGGUUGAUUAACACGUCGGUAACCUGCCCAUCAGCGGGGGAUAACACUUGGAAACAGGUGCUAAUACCGCAUAAUUCCAUUUAGUGCAGGGAAGAUGGAUGAAAGGCGCUGGUGCGUCACUGAUGGAUGGACUCGCGGUGCAUUUGCUAGGUGGUGGGGUAACGGCGUACCAGGGCUGCGAUGCUUAGCCGACCUGCUAUGGUGAUCGGCCACACUGGGAGUGAGACACGGCCCAGACUGCUACGGGAGGCAGCAGUAGGGCAUCUUCGGCAAUGGACGCGAGUCUGAGCGAGAAACGCCGCGUGAGUGAAGAAGGUUUUCGGAUCGUAAAACUCUGUUGUUCGAAAAGAACAAGGAUGAGAGUGGAAAGUUCAUCCCGUGACGGUAUCUAGCAAGAAAGCCACGGCUAACUACGUG